GGUUAAGCGACUAAGCGUACACGGUGGAUGCCCUGGCAGUCAGAGGCGAUGAAGGACGUGCUAAUCUGCGAUAAGCGUCGGUAAGGUGAUAUGAACCGUUAUAACCGGCGAUUUCCGAAUGGGGAAACCCAGUGUGAUUCGUCACACUAUCAUUAACUGAAUCCAUAGGUUAAUGAGGCGAACCGGGGGAACUGAAACAUCUAAGUACCCCGAGGAAAAGAAAUCAACCGAGAUUCCCCCAGUAGCGGCGAGCGAACGGGGAGCAGCCCAGAGCCUGAAUCAGUGUGUGUGUUAGUGGAAGCGUCUGGAAAGGCGCGCGAUACAGGGUGACAGCCCCGUACACAAAAAUGCACAUGCUGUGAGCUCGAUGAGUAGGGCGGGACACGUGGUAUCCUGUCUGAAUAUGGGGGGACCAUCCUCCAAGGCUAAAUACUCCUGACUGACCGAUAGUGAACCAGUACCGUGAGGGAAAGGCGAAAAGAACCCCGGCGAGGGGAGUGAAAAAGAACCUGAAACCGUGUACGUACAAGCAGUGGGAGCACAGAGCAAUCUGUGUGACUGCGUACCUUUUGUAUAAUGGGUCAGCGACUUAUAUUCUGUAGCAAGGUUAACCGAAUAGGGGAGCCGAAGGGAAACCGAGUCUUAACUGGGCGUUAAGUUGCAGGGUAUAGACCCGAAACCCGGUGAUCUAGCCAUGGGCAGGUUGAAGGUUGGGUAACACUAACUGGAGGACCGAACCGACUAAUGUUGAAAAAUUAGCGGAUGACUUGUGGCUGGGGGUGAAAGGCCAAUCAAACCGGGAGAUAGCUGGUUCUCCCCGAAAGCUAUUUAGGUAGCGCCUCGUGAAUUCAUCUCCGGGGGUAGAGCACUGUUUCGGCAAGGGGGUCAUCCCGACUUACCAACCCGAUGCAAACUGCGAAUACCGGAGAAUGUUAUCACGGGAGACACACGGCGGGUGCUAACGUCCGUCGUGAAGAGGGAAACAACCCAGACCGCCAGCUAAGGUCCCAAAGUCAUGGUUAAGUGGGAAACGAUGUGGGAAGGCCCAGACAGCCAGGAUGUUGGCUUAGAAGCAGCCAUCAUUUAAAGAAAGCGUAAUAGCUCACUGGUCGAGUCGGCCUGCGCGGAAGAUGUAACGGGGCUAAACCAUGCACCGAAGCUGCGGCAGCGACGCUUAUGCGUUGUUGGGUAGGGGAGCGUUCUGUAAGCCUGUGAAGGUGUGCUGUGAGGCAUGCUGGAGGUAUCAGAAGUGCGAAUGCUGACAUAAGUAACGAUAAAGCGGGUGAAAAGCCCGCUCGCCGGAAGACCAAGGGUUCCUGUCCAACGUUAAUCGGGGCAGGGUGAGUCGACCCCUAAGGCGAGGCCGAAAGGCGUAGUCGAUGGGAAACAGGUUAAUAUUCCUGUACUUGGUGUUACUGCGAAGGGGGGACGGAGAAGGCUAUGUUGGUCGGGCGACGGUUGUCCCGGUUUAAGCGUGUAGGCUGGUUUUCCAGGCAAAUCCGGAAAAUCAAGGCUGAGGCGUGAUGACGAGGCACUACGGUGCUGAAGCAACAAAUGCCCUGCUUCCAGGAAAAGCCUCUAAGCAUCAGGUAACAUCAAAUCGUACCCCAAACCGACACAGGUGGUCAGGUAGAGAAUACCAAGGCGCUUGAGAGAACUCGGGUGAAGGAACUAGGCAAAAUGGUGCCGUAACUUCGGGAGAAGGCACGCUGAUAUGUAGGUGAGGUCCCUCGCGGAUGGAGCUGAAAUCAGUCGAAGAUACCAGCUGGCUGCAACUGUUUAUUAAAAACACAGCACUGUGCAAACACGAAAGUGGACGUAUACGGUGUGACGCCUGCCCGGUGCCGGAAGGUUAAUUGAUGGGGUUAGCGGUAACGCGAAGCUCUUGAUCGAAGCCCCGGUAAACGGCGGUACCGUAACUAUAACGGUCCUAAGGUAGCGAAAUUCCUUGUCGGGUAAGUUCCGACCUGCACGAAUGGCGUAAUGAUGGCCAGGCUGUCUCCACCCGAGACUCAGUGAAAUUGAACUCGCUGUGAAGAUGCAGUGUACCCGCGGCAAGACGGAAAGACCCCGUGAACCUUUACUAUAGCUUGACACUGAACAUUGAGCCUUGAUGUGUAGGAUAGGUGGGAGGCUUUGAAGUGUGGACGCCAGUCUGCAUGGAGCCGGCCUUGAAAUACCACCCUUUAAUGUUUGAUGUUCUAACGUUGGCCCCUGAUCGGGGUUGCGGACAGUGUCUGGUGGGUAGUUUGACUGGGGCGGUCUCCUCCUAAAGAGUAACGGAGGAGCACGAAGGUUGGCUAAUCCUGGUCGGACAUCAGGAGGUUAGUGCAAUGGCAUAAGCCAGCUUGACUGCGAGCGUGACGGCGCGAGCAGGUGCGAAAGCAGGUCAUAGUGAUCCGGUGGUUCUGAAUGGAAGGGCCAUCGCUCAACGGAUAAAAGGUACUCCGGGGAUAACAGGCUGAUACCGCCCAAGAGUUCAUAUCGACGGCGGUGUUUGGCACCUCGAUGUCGGCUCAUCACAUCCUGGGGCUGAAGUAGGUCCCAAGGGUAUGGCUGUUCGCCAUUUAAAGUGGUACGCGAGCUGGGUUUAGAACGUCGUGAGACAGUUCGGUCCCUAUCUGCCGUGGGCGCUGGAGAACUGAGGGGGGCUGCUCCUAGUACGAGAGGACCGGAGUGGACGCAUCACUGGUGUUCGGGUUGUCAUGCCAAUGGCACUGCCCGGUAGCUAAAUGCGGAAGAGAUAAGUGCUGAAAGCAUCUAAGCACGAAACUUGCCCCGAGAUGAGUUCUCCCUGACCCUUUAAGGGUCCUGAAGGAACGUUGAAGACGACGACGUUGAUAGGCCGGGUGUGUAAGCGCAGCGAUGCGUUGAGCUAACCGGUACUAAUGAACCGUGAGGCUUAACCUU
rnacentral:rRNA from 1 species